CAGUCUGAGAGCAUUUGAACCUUAAUCUGAGUGGAAAUCUGUUCUCGAUCACUUUAACAUCAGGAGAAAUGCUUAUUAAGUUGGAAGAUUUUGGAAGCAAUUUGCAAGAGACUGGAAGUUUGGAUGCAGACAGAGGGAAGCAUAACUGUUUUUUUGGAGUGGGAAUCAUGUCUGGGUCUCAGGCUCUGAAGAAAAGUCCCCGGCCUUUUCACGUGUCAGCACUGGGACCGUCCUGAGACAGGUGGCAUCGUUAUGGCACUGCAGGAGGCCCAGGAUGGACAUGUCAUCUGACGAGUGGGAGGAGGAGUUGAAGUGCUUCACGACUGGGAGGUGCAGUGGUUUAUUGCGAAC